GAGGCGCGGAGGAGAGCUGGUCGGUGGCUGCCUUUGCGAGGUGCUGCUGCCGGGCUCCAUGGGGAGCCACCGCCGGCAAUCUCCUGUUGCCGGCCACCAUUCCGUGUCGUAGCAGGACGCCACCCCAACAAGCUAGCUUCUCCAACUGUUGCAUGGGCGGGCUGAUGUGGGGGACGGAGAGGUUGAGCAGGAGGAGGUGCAUAGCUCGGCUAGCUGUGGCGACCACAUGCGGCAGCGAUAUCUUUGCCAGCGACGAUGACUACGAUGUCGCCACACCGUGCACAAUCCUGCUCGGGCCUUCCCGCCGCCUGAACUAAGAGGGCACCCCUGCCCUGGUGUAGCUGCAGGACGAUGUGAGGCUGCUUCUGCUGCUGCAUGUUUGUUCCUUUGUCGAUGUGCUUGUCCCAUUUUCAGCUAAUGUUCUUACCAUCAGCCGUUGUCUACGGCUGGAGCAAGUGCCGGGAGUUCCACAAUGAACCCUUACUACUGAACACAUGUAUUACCAGCCAGCCAACACUUUUCUCUUUUGCAUUGCCAAUGUUUGAUUUUGCGCAGCUAGUCAUUAACGUCAUCGAGGACAUAUGCUAGGGCAUCGAGUGCUAGGAAAAGGCUGCUGGGAUACUCUGUAUCAAGCCAUGUUGUUUGAUACCUAAAGAAAGUGUAGAUUUUAGCAUACUUGAUUCUUGCUGAUGCUAGAAAUCUUUUUGCUAGAGGAACCUGUCCACCAAAUAACUCAGAAUCUGCAACUUAUAUGUUGUGCUGGAAAAGUAUGUCUUAUCUCGUUUUGCCUUGGCCAUUUUACAUAGUAACAAUCGGAUCUCAUGAUUCUCAAGCUUGUAAACAUCAUUGUGCUUGAUAAAAUAUAUUAUGCUUCUGU